rnacentral:rRNA from 1 species
CACGUAGUUAGCCGGGGCUUCUUAGUCAGGUACCGUCAUUCUCUUCCCUGCUGAUAGGGCUUUACAUACCGAAAUACUUCUUCACCCACGCGGCGUUGCUGCAUCAGGGUUUCCCCCAUUGUGCAAUAUUCCCCACUGCUGCCUCCCGUAGGAGUUUGGGCCGUGCCUCAGUCCCAAUGUGGCCGGCCACCCUCUCAGGUCGGCUACUGAUCGUCGCCUUGGUGGGCCGUUACCCCGCAACCAGCUAAUCAGACGCGGAUCCAUCUCAUACCGCCGGAGCUUUUCACCCGGAAGCAUGCGCUCCCGUGUGCUUAUGCGGUAUUAGCAGUCAUUUCUAACUGUUAUCCCCCUGUAUGAGGCAGGUUAUCCACGCGUUACUCACCCGUCCGCCGCUAAAGCUAACACACUUCCUUCCGAAAAAUUCCGUGUCUUUGCUUCCGCUCGACUUGCAUGUGUUAAGCACGCCGCCAGCGUUCAUCCUGAGCCAGAUCAAACUCU